rnacentral:rRNA from 1 species
AUUGAACGCUGGCGGCAGGCCUAACACAUGCAAGUCGAGCGGAUGAAGGGAGCUUGCUCCUGGUUUCAGCGGCGGACGGGUGAGUAAUGCCUAGGAGUCUGCCUGCUAGUGGGGGAUAACGUCCGGAAGCGGGCGCUAAUACCGCAUACGUCCUGAGGGAGCAAGUGGGGGGUCUUCGGACCUCACGCUCUCAGGUGAGCCUAGGUCGGAUUAGCUAGUUGGUGGGGUAAGUGCCUACCAAGGCGACGAUCCGUAGCUGGUCUGAGAGGAUGAUCAGUCACACUGGAAGUGAGACGCGGACCAGACGACUGCGGGAGGGAGCAGUCGGGAAUGUUGGACAAUGGGCGAGAGCAUGAUACAGCGGGGCCGCGUGUGUGGAAGAGGUGUUCGGAUUGGAAAGAACUUCAAGUUGGGGGGAAGGGCAGUAAGUUAAGACGUAGCUGGUUUGACGGUAACAACAGAAUAAGCACCGGCUAACUACGUG